GAGUGCUUAGGUGGUGGGAUUACAAUGAGUAAUCGUGUUUUUUUGUUUUCAAGGUUACUUUAGUGCUGGGAUGUUCAGUGCACAGCUUGCUUGGCACCUUAGACAAUCAGAAACUUUGACAAAGGGCCCUUCGAGACCUCUGCUUCUCUACCUGUUCUAGCUGCCCUCAACACAAAGGCCUCAUCACAUCCACUGGUCUUCAUGUGUUCUCCCUGGUCAGGUCCUCUGCACUCUCAAUGGGAGACACCAUCCUCUCCACAGUCAGGAAGGCAGCCAGGUUGGCUGUGUACGAGGAGAUGAUGAUCAAAGUGAAGAACCACCAGACACCACCGACGAUUCGUCCAGACAGGGACCUGCAGGCCAAAGGAGAGAUGGGUCAGAGGCAUGGACAUCAAUUACAGAAGGCUCUGGGGAGAAGCAGGGAGCCAGCAGAGUUCUGCUGGUAGAGCUGUCAAACCUGAUUCCACCCCUUACUCUGUAAGGAAGAAGUGAGAAUUCAAACGUUAGAGAGA